rnacentral:rRNA from 1 species
CGCGUAGUCAACCUACCUUUUAGUGGGGGAUAACUAGCCGAAAGGUUAGCUAAUACCGCAUACGAUCUAUGAUUGGCAUCUUUUAUAGAUGAAAGCAGCAAUGCGCUAAGAGACGGGACUGCGUCCCAUUAGUUAGUUGGUGGGGUAAUGGCCUACCAAGACCGCGAUGGGUAGCUGGCUUGAGAGAGCGACCAGCCACACUGGAACUGAGACACGGUCCAG